rnacentral:sRNA from 1 species
UAAUAGUACAUUAAUUCUCCAAAUGCAUGCCAGCAGAGCGUGGCAGGAAGGUACACAAGUCAGCAGAUCUGGGUUGUCCUGGUUCUCCUAUUGACUGGUGUGUGUGAUGUUAGGGAAGACAUGUAAGGAAUUUGCAUAAGACAGCUAAGCAAAAUGGAGCUGGAGGAGCUUUAUUUGUGCACAGAGAUACUCCUGAGAAUAACCCUGAUACUCCAUUUGAUUUCACACCAGAAAACUAUAAGAGGAUAGAGGCAAUUGUAAAAAACUAUCCAGAAGGCCAUAAAGCAGCAGCUGUUCUUCCAGUCCUGGAUUUAGCCCAAAGGCAGAAUGGGUGG